rnacentral:rRNA from 1 species
GACGUAGGUGGCGAACGUUAUCCGGAAUUAUUGGGCGUAAAGGGUGUGUAGGCGGCAUGAUAAGUUAUUGGCGGGAAAUCGAGGCUCAACCUCGUGGAAACUAAUAAUACUGUUUUGCUUGAGUACAGGAGAGGUUAACGGAACUCCGUGUGGAGCGGUAAAAUGUGUAGAUAUAUGGAAGAACAUCAAUAACGGCGAAGGCAGUUAACUAUUCUGUUACUGACGUUGAGGCACGAAAGCGUGGGGAGCAAAACGG